rnacentral:tRNA from 1 species
AGCAGUGUAGCACAGUGGUAGGGAAUAGGGCUGGUAACCAAAAGGUUGCUGGUUCGAUUCCCUGCUGGGG